UACGAAGGGGGCUAGCGUUGUUCGGACUUACGGGGCGUAAAGCGCACGCAGGUGGCUUUAUAAGUCAGGGGUGAAAUCCCGGGGCUCAACCUCGGAAUUGCCUUUGAUACUGUCUAUCUUGAGUCCGGGAGAGGUGAGUGGAAUUCCUAGUGUAGAGGUGAAAUUCGUAGAUAUUAGGAAGAACACCAGUGGCGAUGGCGGCGCACUGGCCCGGUACUGACGCUCACGGGUGAAAGCGUGUGGAGCAAACAGG
rnacentral:rRNA from 1 species